rnacentral:rRNA from 1 species
AACGAACGCUGGCGGCAGGCUUAACACAUGCAAGUCGAGCGCACCUUCGGGUGAGCGGCGGACGGGUGAGUAACGCGUGGGAACGUGCCCUUCUCUACGGAAUAGCCAUUGGAAACGAUGAGUAAUACCGUAUACGCCCUUUUGGGGAAAGAUUUAUCGGAGAAGGAUCGGCCCGCGUUAGAUUAGAUAGUUGGUGGGGUAACGGCCUACCAAGUCUACGAUCUAUAGCUGGUUUUAGAGGAUGAUCAGCCACACUGGGACUGAGACACGGCCCAGACUCCUACGGGAGGCAGCAGUGGGGAAUCUUAGACAAUGGGCGCAAGCCUGAUCUAGCCAUGCCGCGUGAGUGAUGAAGGCCUUAGGGUCGUAAAGCUCUUUCGCCAGGGGAUGAUAAUGACAGUACCUGGUAAAGAAACCCCGGCUAACUCCCGUGCCAGCAGCCCGCGGUAAUACGGAGGGGGUUAGCCGUUGUUCGGAAUUACUGGGCGUAAAGCGCACGUAGGCGGAUCAGAAAGUUGGGGGUGAAAUCCCGGGGCUCAACCCCGGAACUGCCUCCAAAACUCCUGGUCUAGAGUUCGAGAGAGGUGAGUGGAAUUCCGAGUGUAGAGGUGAAAUUCGUAGAUAUUCGGAGGAACACCAGUGGCGAAGGCGGCUCACUGGCUCGAUACUGACGCUGAGGUGCGAAAGUGUGG